rnacentral:misc_RNA from 1 species
GAUGAAGAACGCAGCGAAAUGCGAUAAGUAGUGUGAAUUGCAGAAUUCAGUGAAUCAUCAAAUCUUUGAACGCACAUUGCGCCCCUUGGUAUCCCGAGGGGCAUGCCUGUUCGAGCGUCAUUUCACCACUCAAGCCUGGCUUGGUGUUGGGCGACGUCCUCUUUGGGGACGCGCCUCGAAACGCUCGGCGGCGUGGCACCGGCUUUAAGCGUAGCAGAAUCUUUCGCUUUGGAAGUCGGGGCCCCGUCUGCCGGAAGACCUGCUCGCAAGGUUGACCUCGGAUCAGGCAGGGAUACCCGCUGAACUUAAGCAUAUCAAUAAGCGGAGGA